GACGAACGCUGGCGGCGUGCUUAACACAUGCAAGUCGAACGGAAAGGCCCUGCUUUUGUGGGGUGCUCGAGUGGCGAACGGGUGAGUAACACGUGAGUAACCUGCCCUUGACUUUGGGAUAACUUCAGGAAACUGGGGCUAAUACCGGAUAGGAGCUCCUGCUGCAUGGUGGGGGUUGGAAAGUUUCGGCGGUUGGGGAUGGACUCGCGGCUUAUCAGCUUGUUGGUGGGGUAGUGGCUUACCAAGGCUUUGACGGGUAGCCGGCCUGGGAGGGUGACCGGCCACAUUGGGACUGAGCUACGGCCCAGACUCCUACGGGAGGCAGCAGUGGAGAAUAUUGCACAAUGGGCGGAAGCCUGAUGCAGCAACGCCGCGUGCGGGAUGACGGCCUUCGGGUUGUAAACCGCUUUCGCCUGUGACGAAGCGUGAGUGACGGUAAUGGGUAAAGAAGCACCGGCUAACUACGUG
rnacentral:rRNA from 1 species